AUUAACGCUAGCGGCAGGCAUAAUACAUGCAAGUUGAACGGCAGCACAGGUAGCAAUACCGGGUGGCGAGUGGCGCACGGGUGCGUAACACGUAUGCAACCUACCCUAUACAGGCGAAUAACCUUUAGAAAUGAGGGCUAAUACGCCGUGGUAUUAUCUUGGGGCAUCCUGAGAUAAUUAAAGAUUUAUCGGUAUAGGAUGGGCAUGCGUCCCAUUAGUUAGUUGGUAGGGUAACGGCCUACCAAGGCUAUGAUGGGUAGGGG
rnacentral:rRNA from 1 species